CUCUGAGAACUUCAGCCGCCGACGGUCCUCGGCACGAAAUGAAUCUCGGUUGCGAUGCCGACCGCACGAUAGUCGGCGUCGUUGUAGAUCUCGCCGUCGAUGGCGACGGCCAUCCCCUCCAAGUGCUCGGCGAGUCCGGGGAAGCGCUUGCCGAGCGACAAUUUCAACUCGAGAAUGCGCGACGCGUCGAUCGCGACCGUGUCGAGGCCGCCGGUGAAGCCGAGGAGAUCGUUUGGCAGAUGAACCGUCG
rnacentral:misc_RNA from 1 species